GACGAACGCUGGCGGCGUGCUUAACACAUGCAAGUCGAACGGAAAGGCCCUGCUUUUGUGGGGUGCUCGAGUGGCGAACGGGUGAGUAACACGUGAGUAACCUGCCCUUGACUUUGGGAUAACUUCAGGAAACUGGGGCUAAUACCGGAUAGGAGCUCCUGCUGCAUGGUGGGGGUUGGAAAGUUUCGGCGGUUGGGGAUGGACUCGCGGCUUAUCAGCUUGUUGGUGGGGUAGUGGCUUACCAAGGCUUUGACGGGUAGCCGGCCUGAGAGGGUGACCGGCCACAUUGGGACUGAGAUACGGACCAGACUCCUACGGGAGGCAGCAGUGGGGAAUAUUGCACAAUGGGCGGAAGCCUGAUGCAGCAACGCCGCGUGCGGGAUGACGGCCUUCGGGUUGUAAACCGUUUUCGCCUGUGACGAAGCGUGAGUGACGGUAAUGGGUAAAGAAGCACCGGCUAACUACGUG
rnacentral:rRNA from 1 species